UUAGAAGAAGGCUGACUAUUCCUAUGGGAGAGACCACACAGACACUAAAAAUACUUGGAAGAGGAGAGGGGCUCAGUUGAGCCCAGCCUUCCAGCCAACUCCAGCAGUGUGGCAAGUACGAGAGUGAGGAUAUCUUGGAGCCUCAGCAACCUGUGCUAUCCAAUAGCUAUCAGCCACAUGUGACUACUGAGCACUCAAAAUUGGAGCAUCCUGCAUGAUUCUACAGCACUCAACAGGUGUCUGCCAAGCGGACAGACUACAGACCCCUCCGACCGCAUGAUGCUGAGCCUCCCCUUGGACACAUGAAGAUUAAGUUAGUCAAGCAUGGAGAUUCCUCCCUCUCCUUCACAAACUCCAGAUGUUUGGCAUCUCCCCAAUAUCCUAAGACCUCCUGGACUGGGAACAAAAUGAGCGUAGUGAAAGAGGAAGCAGCUUUAGAGAAAGCACCACAGGGAACAAACCAAUAAAAAAGCAGGAAACUCAGCACAAGCCUGAUUUAUGUCACUGCACUUCUCUACUCUCAGCCCCAUUCCCCCAAACUCCCAGCAAGCACACAAGCACACACAGGCACACACAUGCACAUACACAACACACACACACACAGCAGCUCUCUUUCUCACUCUCACUUUUCUUUUCAAAUGCUGGAAUUUGAAAAAAUCCCCUAUUUUGUUUCACCCUCCUUUUCUG
rnacentral:lncRNA from 1 species